UGUGCCCUGGACUGCCCACUGCUGGACCCUACGUUACUUGUCCUUGAGGUUUGGAGGUGAGGUGGCAAGAGACAGACUCCAGGAUCAGGUAUUGAAAGUGUAGCUGAUGGAGAGACCUGCCACUGGUGCCACUAUGACAUGCAAGUAUGUGGUGGAGAGAUGGGAAAGGAGGAAAGCAGAAUAUUUUGAGCAUCAUGAAAAGAAUCAAAACAGAGGAGACAAGACUGGAGAUUAAAGAAGGAGAAGAUGUUCCAGGUUAUUU